ACCCAACAACAACGGACUAUAAUAUAUAGAGAGAGAGAGAGAGACGAGAGAGAGAAGUCCCUCACGCGUUCGUUUGCGUCCACACUUUGGGAGAGGGAAAGAGCGCAGGCUCGCGGCCUCUUUUCUCUCUUUACCUGGGUUUCCUCCAUUUUUCGUUUCUGCUUCUGGAAGAAGUUUCUUCUAGCUCAAGUUCACUCCUCCAUGGGCUGUCUUUGAUUCUUGCUGGGUCGGAAAAAGGGGGAGAGGUCUGUUUCUGGGAGGUUCGGAAAACCCGAAUGGGCAACUGCUUAGAUUCUACUGCAAGAGUUGAUGCUCAUGCCAUCUCUGCAUCGGGAGUCUCGAAAAACUCCAGCAGAACGAUUGGCUUCUCAGCUCCGUCGGGUCUCACCACACCCUCCCGCAGCAGUUUGAGCCUCCCGACUCCGAGGUCAGAAGGUGAAAUCUUGUCUUCCCCGAAUUUGAAGCCCUUUUCCUUCAACGAGCUAAAGAGCGCGACGCGGAACUUCCGACCUGACAGCCUUGUGGGGGAGGGGGGGUUUGGUUACGUCUUCAAAGGUUGGAUCGAUGAGAACACGCUCAUGGCCUCAAAGCCUGGGUCAGGGAUGGUCGUGGCGGUGAAGAAGCUUAAGCAGGAGAGCUUUCAGGGCCACAAGGAGUGGCUGACGGAACUUGAUUACUUGGGUCAGCUUCAUCACCCAAAUCUUGUCAAGUUGAUUGGGUACUGCUUGGACGGUGAGAACCGUCUUUUGGUUUACGAGUUUAUGGCCAAAGGAAGCUUGGAGAAUCACCUCUUCAGAAGAGGGCCACAGCCACUUUCGUGGGCAACAAGGGUGAAGAUAGCUGUAGGUGCUGCCCGAGGGCUCUGUUUUCUUCAUGAUGCCAAAUCGCAAGUCAUAUAUCGUGAUUUCAAGGCUUCGAACAUUCUCCUGGAUGCGGAUUUUAACCCAAAACUCUCCGAUUUCGGUUUGGCCAAGGCGGGUCCCACCGGCGACAGGACCCAUGUUUCUACUCAAGUCAUUGGCACUCAUGGGUAUGCAGCACCUGAGUAUGUUGCCACAGGAAGGUUAACAGCAAAAAGCGACGUGUACAGCUUUGGGGUCGUGCUAAUCGAGCUCCUCUCAGGGCGUCGAGCGGUUGACAAAACGAAAGUCGGUGUUGAGCAGAAUCUCGUGGAAUGGGCCAAACCAUACUUGGGAGACAGACGGAAAUUGUUCCGAAUUAUGGACACGAAAUUAGAGGGCCAGUAUUCCCAGAAAGGAGCUUAUACAGCCGCAUCCCUUGCUCUACAGUGCCUUAGCGCAGAGGCCAAGGCAAGGCCCCGCAUGUCUGAGGUCUUGGCUGCUCUCGAGCAGCUGGAGGCCCCGAAAAAUGCCCCAAAAUUAUCACCAAUAGAGCAUCAGAUGAGUCCGACAUCUGCCUCAAAGUUCCAUUCUCCUGUGAAUCUGAAACCAAGUUCAUCGCCAUUUCUGUCUCCUCGACAGGGCGUGCGAACUCGUUAAAUAUAUCCCAUUUACAGGAAAUCAUCGGAGAAGCUUUUGAGAGGGGUAAAAGGAACAUUGUAUGAGCUCUUUGUGUUUAUGCUUCCUUUUGCUUAAGAUUACUGUCUGCAAUACAAAUUUCUUCUCUCGGUGCAAUUUACCUGCAUUUAAUCACUACAUGCGCUUGGCCGGACCUGUAUCAAUGAUUGAAUUGGUCAAUUUCUGUUCCACCUUCUAAAGCAGCAACUUUCAGAUUGUCACUGUACUGGAAAAAAGCGAGGAUAUUCUUUGUUCCAGCUUGCUGCUGAGAUAUGGGCGGGCCCACUGAGCAAGGUUCACGCCGUUUCCAUCCGAGUACUUCGUUAUUGCACUGGAGCCUGAGAAAAUCUCUAGCAGCACAAUUCCAAAGCUGUAAGUAUCAGUCUGCAGCGUCAAAUGUCCUGUAAAGUAGAAUACUAUAUAUGUAUAUGAAUGAUUCUUGGAUCCGCUUGAUGAAUAAAUACAGAACACAAAGUGCAGUUGAAUGAGUACCGGUUCCGAUGUACUCCGGGGCAAAGUAGCCUUUGGUACCUAAAACUCUUGUGGAUACAUAAGACCGAUCAUCCUGGGGCCCCAAUCUCGCGAGCCCAAAAUCUGAUAGCUUUGCGGUAAAGUCCUGCAAUUAUUCCACCUAUUCUCGCUCAGCUUCGGAUUUAAUUUCUUUAAUGCAGUCACUAUGGCAAAGUAUAAGGUCUUCAGAAAAGCGGGUUUGAGCUCCGGGAACUUUGUUUAAGUUCGAGGGAAGUGAAAAUAAGAAUGAAACUAUGAAGCCAUCAUAAAUCCCAGAAGAUGCCAAGAAAAUGCCACUGCAGAGCAGACUUACACCAUCCAGCAAAAUAUUGGAGGCCUUGAUGUCCCGAUGAAUAACGGGCUCUGCAUGCUCAUGAAGGUAUUCCAAACCCCGAGCUGCUCCGAGGGCUAUUCUAAUCCUUCUGCUCCAGCUUAGCUCCUGGUUAUUUUCUAUCCAGGAUUCCGACUAAUCACUUUAACAAAUACAGAUGUUUGCUGAGAAACCAAUACAUGUUUUAGUUCGAGAAUUUGGUCUUUCUUACCUCCAAAGAGGAGCUCCUCCAAGCUCCCCCGGAGCAUAUACUCAUAGACCAAGAUCCUCUGCUGAUCCUCACAGCAGUAACCGAUGAGUUUCACUAUGUUCGGGUGGUUGAACUCGCUCAAGAAUCGCAGCUCGUUCUGCAUCCACAAACAUGUUGGCUUCAUCCGCCUUGAAAUAACCAAAGAAAGAGAAUCCUAAGAACCACAGCAGCGGAUCUUGCUGGGUGCACAGACCCAACAACUGUGAUUGGCUCGGUGCUGGAAAUAACUCUUACCAGCCAUUCCUUGUGACCUUGAGCUCCUGUCCUCCGCAGCCUCUUCACAGCAACUAUGGAUCCAUUGUUUUCUUUUGUAGCGGUCAUCGUGCAGGGAUUGAUCCAACCCUUGUAAACAUCUCCAAAACCGCCUUCCCCGACCAAGUUCUUGCUGCUGAACUUGUGGGUGGCUUCCUUCAAGACACUAUAGCAGAAGCAAUGGAGCCUGUAAGCAUGGAACAUCUCUUCCUUCUUACUGGUAAGUACCGAGUCCCACGGACCAGGCUGGCAACGAUUCACCCGCUCUCUUCCCUUCAGUUCUGUAUCAUGAACUGAUCCAAAUCAACAUUCUAUUAUGUGGGAAUGAUCGAGAUUAAUCCUGAUUCUAAGACAUACCAUUUGAUGUCUUUAAGCAAACAGAUGACAGGUUUCCGUUUCUCUCUCGAAGCGGCAAACAGUUCAUGUGUUCUGCGCUGUAGCUUUCUGCAACAAGAGAUAUGAUGAAGUUUCUGAUCUCCAAGAAAUUAAGGGAAGAAUUUUUUUUGAUUCAAUAGAAACAUAUUUCUGGUGCAUGGGCCAAAAUACCUUCAUGAUGAAUUUGUCUAGACCUUAAAAAGGCUGAUGAAGUCCUCUCCUGCAGUGAUCUUUGCCUUCUUUCAUUACAUGAAUCUUGCUGUCCACAUGCUUCUCAAUACAACACGAGGCCCAAAAUAAAUCUCGGUUCAAACACUCACUUGAUCAUAGAAAUUCACAGUAACAAGAAACAGGGAAUCCUUUCUCGAAAAUCAAAGGCGAACCUGAAGGGAGAGGCUGAGUUGGUGGGGCAGCAGCGUUCGUGAUUUCCUGGUUCAGUUGUUCAACCUUCAACUUCCUGAGACAGUUUCCCAUAUUACUGAUCAAGUACUAUGAUCUGAAGAAAACCGAUAAGAAGAAGUCCUGGCAGGACUGUUUCUUGUAAAUACCCAUGAUAUAGCACACAUGGAGAGACCUGGGAAGGGAUGAUUUGGUGAACUUGACUAUGCAGAAGAGCUUAGUAUAGAGUGGGACAAAAAGCUGAUUAUGAUGUUCGAUUACAACAAGAAUCUCAGGGUACUCUUAUUCCUGAUUUGUUCAGUGAUAAUCUAAUAAGAGAUAUGUAAGUUUGGAAUUA